GGAGAAAUUACCCUUGGUGUGUU
rnacentral:miRNA from 15 species